GUGUGCUGCAGUACAACCAUAGGCAGUCACACACAUCAAAACAUAUGGUUCCGGCCGACAGGGUCUAUAAUUAUCAGAUUGUCUGUGUGAUGGCUCCCUACAUG